CUUGCCUUAUCUCCAAGAACUUUAAUUUAAAAAUAAUUCUCCUUUUUAAGACUCAUCCAAUUACCAAGAGAUAAGAUUCCUAACCAAAUUUGUCUUAUUAUAUACCCAAUCACAAUUCAUCCUUUUAGCACCAUUCUUAUCCUACCACAUUCUCUCUCUUUUCCAUUCACACUAUACUUUUGUCUUUUCCUACACCCAAAACCACGUCUCCUUUAUGCUGCCGAUCAUCUCUUCUUAUCGGCAUUCUUCUUCUUCUCUUGCUUUUUUUUUUUCUUUUCCCUUACACAGCGUUUUUGCAUUUCUCCAUCGCCUUGUGAGCCACCAUUGGUAUUUCCAUUUUCGUUUGCUACUUCCCAUCAUCACUAGUGCUUCCCUCAUAUGUCGCCGCACUAUCUCUAGUCUCGCUUUGCCGUUUGUGGCACUUCUAGCAUCUGAAUCUUUGGAUUUCUAGAUAUGACAUUGAAAUUCGCAGGGAGUUUGAAGAAACAUGGCUUGAAUUAAGGUGCAUGGAGGUUUGUUCAAGCUUUGGCUAUGGAGUUUCAAUGGAGAUUCAAUCGGCUGGAGUGUUUAAAGGUUGAAGAUGACUCAAGGUUCUGUCCAAAAUAGUUUAUAUAGGUCCCAUAAGUUGAGAUAUAGAGACUAGAGGAGCAGCAGAGUGAGCUGCUAAGGAUUGUGGAGCCACCUUCCCUGAAGUUUUAUCGAGUAUAUUUUAUACCCUGAUUGUAAAAAUUAUGUUGAUGUAUGUAAAUAUAUGUAAAUGUAGAAAAUGGUCAUGAGUAGUUAUAUAAAGUUUGUAAUAAUAUUAGUUUGGAUUUUUCUAAUGUAAAUUUUGGAUGAAUGUAAUUUGUUUUAAUUUUAAUGAAGUAUGAAUGAAAGUAUUUUGUUUUAA